rnacentral:tRNA from 1 species
GAGAGUAUAGCUCAAGUGGUAGAGCGCAUGCUUAGCAUGCAUGAGGUCCUGGGUUCAAUCCCCAGUACCUCCU